rnacentral:lncRNA from 1 species
UGUGUUUUGUAUCACAACAAAACAUGAACGAUAUCAUCUUGGUUUCGAAAGGAAGGGCAUGCCGUACAAAAUGAUCAGUCAGUAGACUAGCUGGGUUUCAAAGUCUGCAAAAUCAACGGAGCCGGACUCAAUGGGAGGCAUUAAGUAGGCGGCGAGAAGCUCAGAGGCCAAGGCAGCAACCAUCGGUAUCCUCUUCAAGUUUUUCACCAAGGGAAUGUCGUCAGUCUCCCCGACAGCAAUCAGCUUCUGGUUAAUCUCCACCAUGCGGUCCAGUUUCCUUUUGAAUUCUGGGUUCUCAACAUCGAGCACUGCUGGAAAAAUUCUGGCUGUAGUGCGAUUUGUCUGCGUAGGGAACCCAAAACGAUCAUUAGAAACAAUAAGGACAUCGGAUAACGGGAAUGGAUACGCAAGGGAAUUGUUAUUGCCAGUGCAGGCUGACCUCAAUGAUAACGUGCAUAUCAAAUUCUUUAGUGUUGAGGCCGAUGCCUUGGUAGAAAGCUGUUCGCUGGCAAUCGUUGAGGUACAUUGUCACAUACACCUGCAUGGGUAGAAGAUGCGUUAUUUGGGAACUGAGUAAUGGUGCGAUGCAUCCAUUGGUUGCUUACCGACAAGCAGAAGAAUCGGGACCAGAGUUUAGCCUUCCAGUCAUUGAGGAAUUGGGGUUGGGCCUUCAUGAGAGCAGAGAAGAAAUCGCCAUGGCGGUUCUCGUCCUGGCACCAGUUCUCGAAGUAGUUGAAAAUGGGGUAACACUGGUACUCGGGGUUCUCCUUGAGAUGCCGGUAGAUGGUAAUGUAUCUCCAGUACCCAAUCUUCUCGGACAAGUAAGUUGCAUAGAAGAUGAACUUUGGCUUGAAGAAUGUGUACUUCCUCGCCUUUGUCAGAAACCCCAAGUCCAAGGCCAAAUUGAAAUCCGACAGGCCCUUGUUCAAAAAACCAGCAUGCCGAGCUUCAUCCCGAGACAUGAGCGAGAAGAUCUCUGCCACCACUGGAUUUGUUUUCUGCAACAGAUUCAUUUCAUUUCUUGAUUAAUUCGAUGCUAUCACCAAAAGGCCUCGGCACAAAUCAAAACUCAAACCAUUCGAUAUGAGCUAUAUUUAAUUUUGGAAAGAAACACAAUCAACCAACCGACCAACCUUGAGCCUUCUUCCGAGCUCUUUGUACAGAAGGAAGCCGGAGAACUCAGCAGUGCACGACCUCUCCAAGAACUCGACAAAGAUCUGGCGGAGCGGGCCCUGCAGUUUGUCAGCAGCCUCCUUGAACUCCUUGUUCCUGACAAAGUGUGUCUGGUUGUAGUCUGUCUUGAACUCCUGCAGCAGCGCCUCGAACUCCGCCUCGUUCAAGUUCUUGUUGAUCUCCGUGUUGAACAGCGUCUCCAUCUCGUCAAAGUCCGUCGUGUAG